rnacentral:rRNA from 1 species
AUGAACGCUGGCGGCGUGCCUAAUCCAUGCAAGUCGAGCGAACGGACGAGAAGCUUGCUUCUCUGAUGUUAGCGGCGGACGGGUGAGUAACACGUGGAUAACCUACCUAUAAGACUGGGAUAACUUCGGGAAACCGGAGCUAAUACCGGAUGAUAUUUUGAACCGCAUGGUUCAAAAGUGAAAGACGGUCUUGCUGUCACUUAUAGAUGGAUCCGCGCUGCAUUAGCUAGUUGGUAAGGUAACGGCUUACCAAGGCAACGAUGCAUAGCCGACCUGAGAGGGUGAUCGGCCACACUGGAACUGAGACACGGUCCAGACUCCUACGGGAGGCAGCAGUAGGGAAUCUUCCGCAAUGGGCGAAAGCCUGACGGAGCAACGCCGCGUGAGUGAUGAAGGUCUUCGGAUCGUAAAACUCUGUUAUUAGGGAAGAACAUAUGUGUAAGUAACUGUGCAUAUCUUGACGGUACCUAAUCAGAAAGCCACGGCUAACUACGUG